GAGGCUUGAAAUGUUCAUGCAGCUUGAUGUGAAUACAGAGAUCUAUCCCAUUAAAAAAGAAGAGAAGUAUGCAUUGCUGAUAACUCCCACUCUUCACACUGAUGGAACCGGUGAUACUGGUUACUAUGGCCAGGGUAAGCAAGGGUCCAUAGCUGACAAGUAUGAAUAUAUCAUGUAUGGGAAACUAUACAAGAUCCAAGAGGAAGGUUCAGGAGCAGAUAUUAAAGCGGAGUUGCUUAUUUCCUUUGGUGGCCUUCUGAUGUCUCUCAAGGGAAAUCCUGAUUAUAUUGCAGAAUUUCAACUUGAUCAAAAGUACUUCCUUUGCAUGAGGAAGUUGGUUUAGGUGGAUUCUGUAA
rnacentral:misc_RNA from 1 species